rnacentral:misc_RNA from 1 species
GUGAAUCAUCAAAUCUUUGAACGCAAAUUGCACUCUCUUCGAAGAUUAUGCCUGUUUGAGGGUCAGCCUAAAAAAAACCACAACGUUGCUGUUUCACAGUGGCGUUCGUCGGAAAUUGGGUUAUCUAAAAUCCUUGGGUUAAGCGACUUAAACUAUUCUUUACGAUUCCAUGACCGUUUCUAAGAUUUAUUUCUUUACACGGUUAAGGAAUCGAUCUUUAUUAGUCGUGGCCGUCAUAUCGGAACAUGUCCCUAAUUUAUC